GGGGAUAUGUAUAUGACCUUUGCCAUGACAGGUGCGCUUGCUUGGCAGGUCAAAAACCUUCAAUAUUAGAUACAAGUUUUGGUUGCGUGGAAGGCAAGGGAUCGGUUCUUGUCCCGACUCUGCUUCCCUCCGAACUGUGUCUUGUUUCUCUAUUAUAUUCUUGCUGUUUCAUAUGCUUCCUGCACACUACAUAGAGGAUUACUCGUGGUUUUGUUUCAG
rnacentral:lncRNA from 1 species